rnacentral:tmRNA from 1 species
GGGGGCGACCUGGCUUCGACGUGGGUUGCGAAACUUGAGGUGCAUGCCGAGAAUGAGCACUCUCGUAAAUCAGACUCAACUAAACACAAAUGCAAACGAUGAAAACUUUGCUGGAGAAGCGAUCGCUGCGUAAGCAGUAAUUGCCAACCACACCGUGCGCUGCCAUAAAACCAGCGCCCCGAUGCCCACGCCUGCUUAUAGGUAGUGGAACCAUCGGUCAUAGAAGAUAAGCUAGUGAUCAGGUGUGUCCCGUGCCCGAUUGCGAAACUCAGGGAAUCGUCGUGUAUCAUCCUGCCAGUCGGAGGGUCCACGAUUAAACUCAAAUGACCAGGCUAUGCAUGUAGAGCUGACGGCAGAGGAUUUGCGGACGCGGG